rnacentral:tRNA from 1 species
AAUGAAGUGCCUGAUUAAAGGAUUAUCUUGAUAGGAUAAAACAAGUAAAUAUUUUACCUUCAUUA